CGCUAGCUCCUUAAGAGAGUUCGCUCUAGACCUAAAAAAUUUAGAUUUCCCCCAAGCUAGAAAACAUUCACUCCUGAACUCUCGUGGCGCCCUCUCAACUCUCAAAUCUUCCUAAUCUUCCUCAUCUCUCUCCCUUCCUGAACUCUUGCCCUCGACCAGACCUCCAAGAGAGACUCCUCCGUCGAAAUCGAUAACCCAACUUCGUCGUCACAUAUCUCUCUUCCCUUGGUAGCCUUUCGUUGCUGGUACAAGACCUAGCGGUUUCGAUUUGAAAUCCUGAAACGACGGCGUUAUAUAAGCGACUACAGAGAAAAGUCACAGCACAAGGUAACAGUGGUUGUUUCAAACCUGGCGGCUGCCGCUGUAGUUUGAAGCAUCAAGCUUUUCAAUCUACCUUGCAAUUCAAAUGUCGUCGGCAUCGUAGUGGCAGUGGGAGACCUCCAUUGUCGGCGCCGUCGUUGGGUUUGCCACCAAUGCGGCGAUGCAUCCCCUGGUUGCUGUAUGAGAUUUCAAUUCCACGAUGGUCGAGUCUCCAAUCUUCCAACUUACACGAACACGGCUCAUGCCAUUUAUGCAAUUUCAUUUGUUUUUUUUUAUUCCGAUUUCACUUCUGGGUCUUAGAUUUAUUUUGAUUUACGAAUUUUUGAAGUUUUCGUUUAUUUUCCUAUUAAUGACUUAGUUUUUCUGUGCAAUAAAGUUUCACAUUGGCUUGGAUUGUUUUGAAGCGACUUGGGAACAGGGAAGGCAUUGCAAGAGAGGGAAAAAGCUGCCGAACAAAGAAUGAGAUUUUGGGAAAGAUACAUGAGAAGGGGCAUUGGACUAUAGCGAUUGAAGAGAGGAAGAAAGGCUUUGUUAUAUGUUGGGCACAGAAUAAGAAAGGAAAGAGAAAGGGUUAAUAUUAGGAACCAUGUAAUUCAGGUAUCAUCUAUGGAUGUGGUAGAAUUUGUGAGCAAUCACAUGUAGUUCCAUUGUUUCUAAUUCUAUGUAAUAAAAUUGAAUCUUCAACUUUUAUGAAAGAAAUAAUUUUUGAGUA